GACGAACGCUGGCGGCGUGCUUAACACAUGCAAGUCGAACGGAAAGGCCCUGCUUUUGUGGGGUGCUCGAGUGGCGAACGGGUGAGUAACACGUGAGUAACCUGCCCUUGACUUUGGGAUAACUUCAGGAAACUGGGGCUAAUACCGGAUAGGAGCUCCUGCUGCAUGGUGGGGGUUGGAAAGUUUCGGCGGUUGGGGAUGGACUCGCGGCUUAUCAGCUUGUUGGUGGGGUAGUGGCUUACCAAGGCUUUGACGGGUAGCCGGCCUGAGAGGGUGACCGGCCACAUGGGGACUGAGAUACGGCCCAGACUCCUACGGGAGGCAGCAGUGGGGAAUAUUGCACAAUGGGGGGAAGCCUGAGGCAGCAACGCCGCGUGCGGGAUGACGGCCUUCGGGUUGUAAACCGCUUUCGCCUGUGACGAAGCGUGAGUGACGGUAAUGGGUAAAGAAGCACCGGCUAACUACGUG
rnacentral:rRNA from 1 species